CCCUACCUCCACCGCCCUCAAGCUGGUCUCUCCAUCUUGCAGCCCGAGGGAGGCCUGAUGUGGCGUGAGGCUGUGGUCUGCAGAGUGGAAGGCUGCAAGAACCUGGUUUGGAGUCUCACCUUCUGUGUCUCCAGUUAAUACGAGGAAGUAAGUACAGCCUGGAAUUCCCCUCCUACUGGACAACUGGACAACAAGCAAUACAUGAUUAUGAUCCCUAGGAAAAGAGAAACAAAUACGAUGGAGUCUCCCCUGUCACUAGGCUGGAGUGCACUGGUGCUAUCUUGGCUCUCUGCAACCUCUACGUCCCAGGUUCAAGUGAUUCUCCUGCCUCAGCCUCCUGAGUAGCUGGGACUACAGGCGCGCACCACCACCCCCAGCUAAGUUAAGUUUUGUAUUUCUAGUAGAGAUGGGGUUUUACCACGUAAGCCAGGAUGGUCUUGAUCUCUUGACUCCGUGAUCUGCCUGCCUCAGCCUCCCAAAGUGUUGGGAUUACCGGUGUGAGCCACCACGCCUGGCUGGGAUUACUUUUCUUUAGCCUAAGUAUAUCCUCUAAUAAUUUUUUAGUGAGCAUCUGGUGGCAAACUUUAUUUUCACCUCCUAGUUAAAAAAAUAGGUGAUUGGUGUACUUAGAGCAUUCAAAUUUAAAGUAAUUACUGAUACAGCUGGAUUAAUGUCUACUAUGUUUAUAUUGCAUUUGAGUUUGGGGGAAUUUCCUUUGACCUAUCUAUCUUCAAGCUCACUGACUCUUUGCUUGGCUGUGCUCAGUCUACUGAUGAGCCCAUCAACAUCAUUCUGCAUUUCCUUACAGCAUUCCUUAGCAUUUAUUUUUAGAGUUUCCAUCUCUCUGCGUACAUCACUUCUUGCAUGUUGUCUACUUUUUUCCAUUGGAGCCUUUAACCUACUAAUCAUAGGUAUUGUAAAUUCCCUAUCUGAUAACUGAAAUAUUUGUGUCAUAUCUGAGGACUGCUUCUGAUGCUUGUUUUGUCUCUUCAGACUGUGGGUUUUUCUUGCCUUUUAGCAUGCCUUAUAGUUUUUUUGCUGAAAGCUGGAAAGCUGGAAAGCUGGACAUGAUAUAUCAAAACUGAAGUAAUUAGACUUUUAGUGUGAGGUUUCAUGCUAAUCUGGCUAGGAGCUGGGCUGUAUUUAAUGUUUGCCAUAAUUGUAGGUACUGGAGGCUUCAGUUUCCUCUAGUUUCCUUGUUUUUAUUUACUUUUUCUUCUGUUGUUUUUGGGUUUCCUAAGAACUCCUUAAACAGCUUGUGUCUUGCAGCUCUCUCAGUUGUAAUCCACUGUUAUUUUAUCCUGGAGCCCUGUUUAUAUGGUGGUAAGGUGUUGGGGAGGGGGAGGGGGAGGUGAAUUGUUUUUUAAUCUUUAUGAUUAAAUCUCAGUUUUUUUUAGUGGGUCUGAAUCCCUGGGCUGUGACUUUCAGAAAUGAGACAAGAAGGCUAAGGAAGGGCUAGAAUCCUCUAUUUGCCUUUCCCCCAGGUCACAUAAGGGCCUGUUAAAUUAGUUUUCCUUACAGGGCAGGCCUUUUGUUGUGAACACUCUGCUACAUAUUUCCAAAUUUUACCUUCCCUCUACUCCUACCAGAAAAAGGAGGGAAUUUUUCUUGCAUCUUCACCAUAAGAACCUUGUGGAGUUUCUUUUCUUGCAUCUUCACCAUAAGAACCUUGUGGAGUUUCUGGAAGUUAGAAAUUUUGUGGGGUAAACCCAAGAAAUUGCAGGAAACCCCCACUAAGACUGGGUCCCUGGGAGUUUUUAACUCUGAAACUAGUCCUCACUCAGCCUCCAGCAAUUCAUCAAAAUUGCCAUAGUCUUCCUGGCUUCAGUGGCAUCUUUUCCCAGUAAGCUGAUCUUGGCUGUUUCUCUGUAUUUGUCUAGUCUUCUAGAUUUCGAAGUGGUGGUUUGUCCUAUGACCUCCAUUCUCUGAGGGAUCUAAGAAAAGUCAUUGCUUUUCCAGUUUCUAUAGCUUUGUUGCCAUUUUCCUGUUGUGAUUUUCAGUACCUACAGAUUUCCCUUAUGGUUUAUAUACACAAACAUAUACACAAUCAUUAAAAACAAUUGUAUUCUGGCUGAUUUUUUCAAAUAUACAUUUCAAGUGUUUCUUCAAAUGUGUCCAAUCUGCUUUUAGAUCCAUCCACUGCCUUUUCAACUGCAUUUAUAUUUCCAUCCCUUGUUUUUAAACUUACUAAAUAUACAGAACCAGUCCAAAUGCCCAUCAAUCAACGAGUGGAUAAAGAAAAUGUGGUGUAUAUAUACCAUGGAAUACUACUCAGCCACAAAAAGGAACAAAAUAAUGGCAAUUGCAGCAACCUGGAUGGAACUGGAAACCAUUAUUGUAAGUGAAGUAACCCAGGAAUGGGAAACCAAAUAUUGCAUGUUCUCACUUCUAAGUGGGAGCUAAACAAUGAAGAUGCAAAGGCAUGAGAAUGAUAUUAUGGACUUUGGGGACUAGGGUUGGGGAGGGGAUGAGGGAUGAAAGACUACACAUUGGGUACAGUGUACACUGCUCGGGUGAUGGGUGCACCAAAAUCCCAGAAAUCACCACUAAAGAACUUAUUCAUGUAACCUACCACUACCUGUUGCCCAAAAACCUACUGAAAUCAUUUUAAAAAAGAUUAUAAACUUAAAAAAACCCCAACUUACUAAACUUACUAAUUUACCAGGUUCUACAAAUGCCGUCAAAGAGCAAGUUGGCUUGAGUUCCACUUAUCUCUUAAACUUACUAAUUUACCAGGUUCUACAAAUGCCGUCAAAGAGCAAGUUGGCUUGAGUUCCACUUAUCUCUGUAGGUUCCUGCCUUCACUUAGUUCUUAAUUUUUUUAGUCUAGCAUUUUUGGUGGGAGGUUAUAUACCUAUUCCAGUAGUCUAUCAUAGUAGAAGUCUAUAUCUUAAGGUAUAUAUUUCCAUCCUUAUGAUUCUAUUAUUUUUUAACAAGAACUCGUGAUAUUAUUUACAAUGAAAAAAAUAUAGCUCAAUUAGUCUGGGAUGUAUACAAUUGAAACCAUUCUUUUUUUUUUUAAACAAGUAAAGUUGUUAGUAUCUAGGCACUGAAUUAUACCUUCAUGGUAUCAAUCAAAGUUAUGAUCAGAAUUUUAUGUAACUGCUUAAUCACUUCUUUAACAAGUGUACUGCUACAGGUAACAUUAAACGUCUCUAGCAAUGAUCUUUAUCGGGUUCUCUUGCCUUGAUUGAAAUAUUAUUAAUACUUCUUAUAUCCAUUAACAUAAAAUAACUUUUUGUUGAGCAAAAAUAGUGUGAAAACAUUAAGAUGAAUGUGCGCUUUGGAAAUGUUUAAAUAGAUAUGAAAUGAUUAAAUAAAAUCACAGUCUUGUGCAACAUCCAUAGCUUACAGUUAUUUGGCAACUAUGAAACCACAGUUACUAAUGGAAUUAAGACUUUUUUAAAAAUUGCAAAUGUACUUAUUUGUAUAUGAAAGAGGUAUUCAGCUAUUAACUCAGUAUUUAAUAAACACUGAUAUGUAAUUUUUACUUGAAAUGGCCUAAGGUUUAUACUACCAACUAGUUCAUAGAGCUUUUUUUAAAAAAGACUUUUUUUAGAGCAGUUUUAA